AUACGUAGGGAGCGAGCGUUGUCCGGAAUUACUGGGUUUAAAGGGAGCGUAGGCGGGAGCUUAAGUCAGCGGUUAAAUGGUGCGGCUCAACCGUGCCCUGCCGUUGAAACUGGGUUUCUUGAGAGUGCAAGAGGCGGAUGGAAUUCAUGGUGUAGCGGUGAAAUGCUUAGAUAUCAUGAAGAACUCCGAUUGCGAAGGCAGUCCGCUGGGGCACGUCUGACGCUGAUGCUCGAAGGUGCGGGAAUCAAACAGGAUUAGAUACCCUGGUAGUCCGCACGGUAAACGAUGAUUACCCGCUGUCGGCGGUAGACAGUCGGCGGCCAAGCGAAAGCGAUAAGUAAUCCACCUGGGGAGUACGCCGGUAACGGUGAAACUCAAAUGAAUUGACGGG
rnacentral:rRNA from 1 species